GUUGCAUUGGGGCGUCUGGGUUCUUCUUCCUCUAGAGCAACUGGUAUCUCCCAAGCUUGGGCAACUUUUACCAUGCACAAUUUAGCUCUGGUGGCUAUAGUCUCAAGUUCAAGAGAGUUGUCUCUGUUCUAGAUCUGGGGCCCAUAGGAACACAGGAAACCAUAGAUGGUGUUAGAGUCUGUUGGCCUUCUCAAACUCCGUCAGCCCUCGCAUGGAUUGAUUGUCAAUAUGGGAGUGGUUCCUGCUGGAGUUUCCCAAAGGAAGCUCAAUUUGCCUACUUUGGGCACCUUUUUGAUACUGGGAUUCUGUCUACACUUACAUUCUGCACAUGUAGAUGACAGCAUCAUCCCUCUCUUUCUUAUCGGUCUGUUUUCCCUGGAGACACGAAGGACCCCGAAUUCUAUAGGCUGGGUAGGUUGAUGUACCGCCUUUGUCUUGUGGUUUAAAGCAUGUGUUACAAGCACAUUUUGUUGUUACAGCAUUUUUAUGAUUUAAAUUUAACUUUCCCACUUCUACUUUCUCAACAUUACCAGUUUCUGCCUCUUUUCUUAGAAUUUUAGGGCAUCAGGUCAUUUUUAGGUCACCAACUUGUAUCCAAGGCCUAAAAUAGCUAAGCUAAAGUCUUUCAGCAGGCCUCAGCCUACAGUUUUCUUGUGUUUCAGCU